CAGUCGUACCUUCGGGUAAUCAGCCUUUCGAGUGCGAUUCUGUGGAGUGUGAGGAGCUAAACACCUUCAUGCCUGCAUAUUCGUGCUCUUGGGUGUACUUGCUCGUGUGGUAGGUUAACAUCAAUUUCGGGCGCCGGAAAAGGAUUUGAGGAAUGGUGACAGCUUGCUGUGUUAUAGCCUCUUGUCGUACACGGUGCUUGGGAUUGAGGACUGCAGCACGUCCUUUU
rnacentral:rRNA from 1 species